GAUGAACGCUGGCGGCGUGCCUAAUACAUGCAAGUCGAGCGAACGGACGAGAAGCUUGCUUCUCUGAUGUUAGCGGCGGACGGGUGAGUAACACGUGGAUAACCUACCUAUAAGACUGGGAUAACUUCGGGAAACCGGAGCUAAUACCGGAUAAUAUUUUGAACCGCAUGGUUCAAAAGUGAAAGACGGUCUUGCUGUCACUUAUAGAUGGAUCCGCGCUGCAUUAGCUAGUUGGUAAGGUAACGGCUUACCAAGGCAACGAUGCAUAGCCGACCUGAGAGGAUGAUCGGCCACACUGGAACUGAGACACGGUCCAGACUCCUACGGGAGGCAGCAGUAGGGAAUCUUCCGCAAUGGGCGAAAGCCUGACGGAGCAACGCCGCGUGAGUGAUGAAGGUCUUCGGAUCGUAAAGCUCUGUUAUUAGGGAAGAACAGAUGUGUAAGUAACUGUGCACAUCUUGACGGUACCUAAUCAGAAAGCCACGGCUAACUACGUG
rnacentral:rRNA from 1 species